GUCAUGGAGGGCGGUGGUGUUCGUGGCGAAACCGUGGAAGUAGCAGCUGCACUCCACUGGCUUCACGGACCUCAACUUCGUUCGGGAAACGCCAAAGGACAACGAUCAGAAGUCAACCGGUCGUCACCUCGAAGUGCUGAAGAACGUCUAAAAAUGAGACUGCCACAGAUCAGUGUCAUUACGGUGAUCUGGUUCACCACAUUGCGCACAUGUCAGCUUCCCGCGGCAUACCUGUGAACUGGCAGUGGAAACAUAGUCUCGGAUUUGGUACGUAUGGUCGCACUCUGCUCACGAUAUAACCAGCUACCAGUGUUUCCGGUAGAACUGUUGACUCAAAAGUUAGAACUAGGUGCUUGGUGGGGAUUUCAUUUCCGUCUCGACGGAUCAUGAUUCUUCGUACAGAUGUUACAUUCUGGUCCUGGAACUCUUCAAGAAUAUCA